CCAGGUUUCUUCGUCUUCUUCGUCUAAUUUACCAGAUGAACACAGAGAUCAGUUUGUUAUGUAUUUAUUCUGUUUUACAAGCAUCAUUCGUACCAACAUUCAUCGAUUUUCAAUACUAAGUUUGUCCGUUUUUUUCAAAAACAUUUUUUUUUUUUUUUUUUACAAAGACAUAAAUAUAUGAUAGAAUACAAUACAGUAUAAACUGUAUAAAAUACAAAAUAAAAUGGAUAUACUUAUUUAAAAUGAUAAUCACAAAAGAGACGAAACCAGAAAAUGGGAUCUUUUGACAACGAGGCAAAAAACACCAGCAUGAACUUAAAACAGCUGAACACCAAUGAUAUUAUUGUUGUCCGUCUCAAAACCGUUCCCCCUCUGUCGUACACUAGUUUACAGUACACUAGUUUAUAGUGCACUAGUUUAUAGUGCACUAGUUUACAGUACACUAGUUUAUAGUGCACUAGUUUACAGUACACUAUUUUAUAGUGCACUACAAGGGGAAAAAAAACGACAUCAUCGGAGACGCAGCUAAUGGCUAUGUCAGAAAUGGGCGUCGCCGGAGACGCAGCCAAUGGCUAUGUCAGAAAUGGGCGUCGCCAGAGACGCAGCCAAUGGCUAUGUCAGAAAUGGGCGUCGCCGGAGACGCAGCCAAUGGCUACUUCAGAAACUACAUCACCGGAGACGCAGCCAAUGGCUACAUCAGAAACUACAUCACCGGAGACGCAGCCAAUGGCUACAUCAGAAACUACAUCACCGGAGACGCAGCCAAUGGCUGUGUCAGAAACGGCACCCUAUUCCCUAUAUAGUGAACUCCUUUUGACCAGAGCCCUACAGGGCCCUUCGUAGGGAAUAGGAUGGCAUUUUGAACGUAGACAUUAUGUAUAUUAGGUAAGUACGUACGCAGGUCGCUUUUGGGUCCAAAUUUUGUUGUUUUUUUGGGGGGGCCUGAACAACCAAACUACGGAAAGCUGGAAGGCACAUAUCUGAGGAAGCAUGAGACCUUCAGAUGAAGGGAAGUGUCCCCAACAGCACCCUAAUUCCCUUACGGUGCACUACCGUUUGACCAGAGCCCUUUUGACCACUAUAUAUUUAGUGCACUAGCGCACGAGUGACCUUUUCCAACACCAAAUAGGGAAUGGGGUGCCAUUUUGGAACGUAACCCGGGCAACAGGAAGAAGAGAGACAGUAGAGGGAGGGUGAGGCAGUGAAACAGGAAGAAGGAGAGAGACAGUAGAGGGAGGGUAAGGCAGUGAAACAGGAAGGAGAGAGACAGUAGAGGGAGGGUAAGGCAGUGAAACAGGAAGAAGGGAGACAGUAGAGGGAGGGUUCGAGGCAGUGAAACAGGAAGUGUUAAGGCCAACUGAUCAUCUAAAAACAGGAUGCCCAAACUGUUAUAAGACAUACAACCUGACCAAUAAAAACAGAGUAUUCAAUAUCAACAUGACCAAUCGGUAAUCUUCUGUUGUCAUAUUCCAGCCCACUAAUAUAGAUAUCUGUCACCAAGGUUAGAGAAUUAUAUUAAAACAAGGCAUGUUAUUGACCCCAAGGUUAGAGAAUUAUAUUAAAACAAGGCUUGUUAUUGACCCCAAGGUUAGAGAGAAUUAUAUUAAAACAAGGCUUGUUAUUGACCCCAAGGUUAGAGAGAAUUAUAUUAAAACAAGGCUUGUUAUUGACCCCAAGGAUAGAGAAUUACAUUAAAACAAGGCUUGUUAUUGACCCCAAGGUUAGAGAAUUACAUUAAAACAAGGCUUGUUAUUGACCCCAAGGUUAGAGAAUUAUAUUAAAACAAGGCUUGUUAUUGACCCCAAGGUUAGAGAGAAUUACAUUAAAACAAGGCUUGUUAUUGACCCCAAGGUUAGAGAAUUACAUUAAAACAAGGCUUGUUAUUGACCCCAAGGUUAGAGAAUUAUAUUAAAACAAGGCUUGUUAUUGACCAAGGUUAGAGAGAAUGACAUUAAAACAAGGCUUGUUAUUGACCCCAAGGUUAGAGAGAAUGACAUUAAAACAAGGCUUGUUAUUGACCCCAAGGUUAGAGAGAAUGACAUUAAAACAAGGCUUGUUAUUGACCCCAAGGUUAGAGAGAAUGACAUUAAAACAAGGCUUGUUAUUGACCCCAAGGUUAGAGAGAAUGACAUUAAAACAAGGCUUGUUAUUGACCAAGGUUAGAGAGAAUGACAUUAAAACAAGGCUUGUUAUUGACCAAGGUUAGAGAGAAUGACAUUAAAACAAGGCUUGUUAUUGACCCCAAGGUUAGAGAGAAUGACAUUAAAACAAGGCUUGUUAUUGACCCCAAGGUUAGAGAGAAUGACAUUAAAACAAGGCUUGUUAUUGACCCCAAGGUUAGAGAGAAUGACAUUAAAACAAGGCUUGUUAUUGACCCCAAGGAUAGAGAGAAUUAUAUUAAAACAAGGCUUGUUGUCAUCCUUCAUCUUCCUCCAUUAGACAUUGUAGUUAUUAUUAUUAUUAUUAUUAUAAACACAAUAUAUACAUGUAUGUUACAGGAAUAUACAGGGUGUUAAUGCUCCUCAUGUCUCAAUAUAAAUCAGUAUGUUCAAGCAUUCAGGGAGUCGGCGGCUUUGGCUUGCGGAGGGGUUUCAUUACCUAAAACAGGGUGAAAAGUCAAAAAACAGGAACAGGAAAUACAUCACCAUAGAACUAAAGGCCGAUAAAAGACAGAAGAAGAGGUCAAAAAGAAGGUUGACAGUCCAGUGGGCCCAUUGUCACUAGGAUGUACGACUAGGGAGAGGGACCAUAGACUUAGACAGACCUCUAUGGUGCAGCACAUGCUGUCACACAAGACAUUGUCGCACAGGUGCAAAGCAGAGCCCUCUAGCUAGCUCUAUGGGAGAAACAGGCCAGGCUAGGAGAGGCCAGCUCCUCUUAGCUCUAUGGGAGAAACAGGCCAGGCCAGGACAGGAGAGGCCAGCUCCUCUUAGCUCUAUGGGAGAAACAGGCCAGGCCAGGAGAGGCCAGCUCCUCUUAGCUCUAUGGGAGAAACAGGCCAGUUCCUCUUAGCUCUAUGGGAGAAACAGGCCAGGCCAGGACAGGACAGGCCAGGACAGGACAGGCCAGCUCCUCUUAGCUCUAUGGGAGAAACAGGCCAGGCCAGGACAGGCCAGGCCAGCUCCUCUUAGCUCUAUGGGAGAAACAGGCCAGGCCAGGAGAGGCCAGCUCCUCUUAGCUCUAUGGGAGAAACAGGCCAGUUCCUCUUAGCUCUUUGGGAGAAACUGGCCAGGCCAGGACAGGAUAGGGCCAGCUCCUCUUAGCUCUAUGGGAGAAACAGGCCGGGACAGGAGAGCUCCUCUUAGCUCAGAGCCGCCCCACUACAUACUAAAUGGCAGGACUCUGCUCUAUCUAUCUAUCUAUCUAUCUAUCUAUCUAUCUAUCUAUCUAUCUAUCUAUCUAUCUAUCUAUCUAUCAAUCAAUCAAUCAAUUGUUGAUACAUCUCAUCUUCUCCUCCUCCUCUUGAUUGGGGGAGUAACUCAAGAGUCAUUUAGCUUUCACACCCUCUUCCUCUUCCUGGGACACAUCCUGUUUCCAUCCCUCCUCCAUCUCCCUGUCCCUUCCUCUCCCUCAGCCUGCGUUCAUUCCAUCCUCCACCCUCUUCCUCUUCCUCUUCCUGGGACACAUCCUGUUUCCCUCCCUCCAUCAGCCUGCGUUCAUUCCAUCCUCCUCUUCCUCUUCCUGGGACACAUCCUGUUUCCCUCCCUCCCUCAGCCUGCGUUCAUUCCAUCCUCCACCCUCUUCCUCUUCCUGGGACACAUCCUGUUUCCCUCCCUCCCUCAGCCUGCAUUCAUUCCAUCCUCCACCCAUCCCAUCCCGUCACUCGCUGUCUGUCUCCAGGUCUGAAUCGGACCACUGUACCGGGGUCAGUUUUCCGCGUCGCUGUGCGUACUCGAUGACGGCCGUGUAGCAGAAGUAAUACUGAUCCCAGGUCUGUAUACUGAAGGCUCUCUGGGUCCUCAUCCUCCUCACUGUCUCACACACAUCCACCGUCCCAAUGUCCUCCAGCCUGGACAGACAGAUGUCCAGGGUACAGAACGUACCUGAGGAGGGAAAUGAGAGAGAGAGGGGUUAGUGGAGGGAGAGAGGAGAGAAACGAAAGAGAGAAAGAGGGGUUAGUGGAGGGAGAGAGGAGAGAAAUGAGAGACAGAGAGAGAGAGAGAGAG
ensembl:lncRNA